GACGAACGCUGGCGGCGUGCUUAACACAUGCAAGUCGAACGGAAAGGCCCUGCUUUUGUGGGGUGCUCGAGUGGCGAACGGGUGAGUAACACGUGAGUAACCUGCCCUUGACUUUGGGAUAACUUCAGGAAACUGGGGCUAAUACCGGAUAGGAGCUCCUGCUGCAUGGUGGGGGUUGGAAAGUUUCGGCGGUUGGGGAUGGACUCGCGGCUUAUCAGCUUGUUGGUGGGGUAGUGGCUUACCAAGGCUUUGACGGGUAGCCGGCAUGAGAGGGUGACCGGCCACAAUGGGACUGCGAUACGGCCCAGAAUGCUACGGGAGGCAGCAGUGGGGAAUAUUGCACAGUGGGCGGAAGCCUGAUGCAGCAACGCCGCGUGCGGGAUGACGGCCUUCGGGUUGUAAACCGCUUUCGCCUGUGACGAAGAGUGAGUGACGGUAAUGGGUAAAGAAGCACCGGCUAACUACGUG
rnacentral:rRNA from 1 species